rnacentral:rRNA from 1 species
GACGAACGCUGGCGGCGUGCUUAACACAUGCAAGUCGAACGGAAAGGCCUCUUUCGGGGGGUACUCGAGUGGCGAACGGGUGAGUAACACGUGAGUAACCUGCCCUUGACUUUGGGAUAACUUCAGGAAACUGGGGCUAAUACCGGAUAGGAGCUCCUGCUGCAUGGGGGGGGUUGGAAAGUUUCGGCGGUUGGGGAUGGACUCGCGGCUUAUCAGCUUGUUGGUGGGGUAGUGGCUUACCAAGGCUUUGCCGGGUAGCCGGCCUGAGAGGGUGACCGGCCACAUUGGGACUGAGAUACGGCCCAGACUCCUACGGGAGGCAGCAGUGGGGAAUAUUGCACAAUGGGUGGAAGCCUGAUGCAGCAACGCCGUGUGCGGGAUGACGGCCUUCGGGUUGUAAACCGCUUUCGCUCAUGACGAAGCUUUGUGUGACGGUAGUGGGUAAAGAAGCACCGGCUAACUACGUG